AAGUACUUUGGGGGCUAAACCUAAGGGCGGUAGCGUU
rfam:Vibrio sinaloensis strain T08 Contig4, whole genome shotgun sequence.